rnacentral:rRNA from 1 species
GGGAUAACUACUGGAAACGGUAGCUAAUACCGCAUAACGUCGCAAGACCAAAGAGGGGGACCUUCGGGCCUCUUGCCAUCGGAUGUGCCCAGAUGGGAUUAGCUUGUUGGUGGGGUAACGGCUCACCUAGGCGACGAUCCCUAGCUGGUCUGAGAGGAUGACCAGCCACACUGGAACUGAGACACGGUCCAGACUCCUACGGGAGGCAGCAGUGGGGAAUAUUGCACAAUGGGCG